rnacentral:lncRNA from 1 species
CAAGGACAUACCGUACGCUCCUCAAGGUAGGACUACAAGUUCAUGCCAAAUAUACCUCCAGCCAAUGUUUUUAUGAGCUUCAGUGGCUUCUAUAUGCAUGGGGAUGACAUUAUAUGAUUCAAGGUUUGAGGAAUAUUUAUAAUGUUUACACAAAUCUGGUGAAAAUGCUUGCAUAUCAAUCCAGUGUGCUUGUCUAUAUAUAGUACACAGUGAGCUAAAGAAGGAAUACACAAUUAGUCCAAUUUGCUGUACAUAGUAGAUGUGAUUGACAGAGUUAUUAUUGCUGAAUCCCCUAAUCAUGCGGUUCCCUUAUACGACCCCUCAAAAUCAAUGUACCAUCAGCGACAUUGAUUUUGCUUCGUAGGAAAUUGAAGCGAGAUCGACUGAGAGGCUUGGUCAGUAAAUCUGCUAGCUGAUCAUCUGUGUGAACAUGUGCAACUUGAAGACAACCAUGGUGAACAAAGUUACGAACAAAAUGGAGGUCAAUUGCUAUAUGUUUCAUCUAGAGUGCAAAACAGGAUUAAGACUAAGUUGAGUGGCUCCAACAUUAUCACAAAGGAGCCGUGGAUGAACAUGGAGGUUAACACCAAGUUCAUCAAGACGGGAUUGAAUCCAGGCAAUGUCCGAGGUGGCAGUGGUAAGGGCCCGAUAUUCAGCUUCAGUGGAGGAUCAAGCUACCGCCUUUUGCUUCCUAGUGCUCCAACUGAUGGGAUUAUUGCCCAGAAAGUGGACUUACGAUCAUCAAGAUUACCACCCCAGUCUGCAUCUGAAAAUCCACGUAGAACAAGAUUGGUUUCACGGCGAAGUAGAAGACCAAAGUGAAUCGUCUGCUUAAGAUAACGUAGGAGGCGCUUGACAUGUUGCCAAUGAGUCACAGUAGGUUUGUGCAUAAACUGAACAAGGCGAUUCACUGUAAAAUCAAUGUCUGGGCGAGUGAGAGACAGGUAUUGCAACGAACCAAUGGUGCUGCGAUAUUUCGUAGCAUCACACCCAGCAGUGCCAUCAUGGAGAAGAAGUUUUGUAGUUGUAGACAUGGGAGUUUGAACCUCCUUGGCACCAGUUAUCUUUAAACGAGUGAGAAGAUCAUGGACAUAGCAAUUCUGGGAGAGAAAUAGACCCUGAUGGACUGGAAUGACUUCAACUCCAAGGAAGAAAUGUAGAUCACACACCUCUUUGAGAGAAAACUUGUCACCCAAAG